CAUGGCAAUGAUACGUAGCCGACCUGAGAGGGUAAUCGGCCACAUUGGGACUGAGACACGGCCCAAACUCCUACGGGAGGCAGCAGUAGGGAAUCUUCCACAAUGGACGAAAGUCUGAUGGAGCAACGCCGCGUGAGUGAAGAAGGGUUUCGGCUCGUAAAACUCUGUUGUUAAAGAAGAACAUAUUCUGAGAGUAACUGUUCAGGUAUUGACGGUAUUUAACCAGAAAGCCACGGCUAACUACGUGCCAGCAGCCGCGGUAAUACGUAGGUGGCAAGCGUUGUCCGGAUUUAUUGGGCGUAAAGCGAGCGCAGGCGGUUUUUUAAGUCUGAUGUGAAAGCCUUCGGCUCAACCGAAGAAGUGCAUCGGAAACUGGGAAACUUGAGUGCAGAAGAGGACAGUGGAACUCCAUGUGUAGCGGUGAAAUGCGUAGAUAUAUGGAAGAACACCAGUGGCGAAGGCGGCUGUCUGGUCUGUAACUGACGCUGAGGCUCGAAAGUAUGGGUAGCAAACAGGAUUAGAUACCCUGGUAGUCCAUACCGUAAACGAUGAAUGCUAAGUGUUGGAGGGUUUCCGCCCUUCAGUGCUGCAGCUAACGCAUUAAGCAUUCCGCCUGGGGAGUACGGCCGCAAGGCUGAAACUCAAAGGAAUUGACGGGGGCCCGCACAAGCGGUGGAGCAUGUGGUUUAAUUUGGAGCUACGCGAAGAACCUUACCAGGUCUUGACAUACUAUGCAAAUCUAAGAGAUUAGACGUUCCCUUCGGGGACAUGGAUACAGGUGGUGCAUGGUUGUCGUCCAGCUCGUGUCGUGAGAAUGUUGGGUUAAGUUCCCGCAACGAGCGCAACCCUUAUUAUCAGUUGCCAGCAUUAAGUUGGGCACUCUGGUGAGACUGCCGGUGACAAACCGGAGGAAGGUGGGGAUGACGUCAAAUCAUCAUGCCCCUUAUGAC
rnacentral:rRNA from 1 species